AGCUAGCAGAUUCUUGGGGUCCAAAAGGAAGUCAGCCCUACAGUAUAAAGGAAGCCUUCCACAUGAUCAAUCAGUUACCCAACCUCUUUCCCUGUUGUGGCUCUGCCCUCCUCUGGGGUCUUGGAGUUCUCACCAUCAUCAGUUCCACAGCUUCUGUCUAGGAGGCACAAAGAAUAUGGCACCAGAAAGAUGCAGAAGGCAGCAGGGG
rnacentral:lncRNA from 1 species